CAGGGGAGGGGGGGUUCUCUCAGCACGGAUUGUGAGAGGGUGCAGGCCAGGCCUAGGGACUCCACCAGUGCACA
rnacentral:pre_miRNA from 1 species